CCACCAUUCUUUGUGAAGAGGAAUCCAAAUGUUCUUUGGCCUGAUCGAGUUCUUAUGGGUGCCUUGAGCCAUCCUAGGAGGCAUCCCAAGUAACAACAUUAAGAACGUAUAAAUGUUUGAACUGUGCAGACUUCUUGUUGUGAGAAAAAAAGCCUGCAGCCAAUGAGAUAGAAAUGGAGAGAAGGGCAAUAGCAGCUUGCACAUGUCAAGGAUCUGCAGCGCAUGAAACCCCUUAAACUGAAGAUGAUGUUCCUGAAGCCUAGAGAUGUCAGCACUCGCAGUCAGCCGCUUUAUCAUCCAUUGCUCCAUUAACCUCAUCCACCUGGUCAACACAAUUCAAACAUACCAGAUACAGACUCAGUUAAAACAGAUAUGGGUGCAAGUCAUGACACUUUUACAG